rnacentral:rRNA from 1 species
UACGUAGGGUGCGAGCGUUGCCCGGAUUUAUUGGGCGUAAAGGGUGCGUAGGCGGUUUGGUAAGUCUUAUGUGAAAUCUACAGGCUCAACUUGUAGUCUGCAUGAGAAACUGCCGGGCUUGAGUGUGGGAGAGGUGAGUGGAAUUCCUGGUGUAGCGGUGAAAUGCGUAGAUAUCGGGAGGAACACCUGUGGCGAAGGCGGCCCCCUGGGCCGGCCCUGACACUGAGACGCGAAGGCGUGGGGAGCGAACGGG